UACGUAGGGGGGCAAGCGUUGUCCGGAAUCAUUGGGCGUAAAGAGCGUGUAGGCGGCUCGGUAAGUCCGCUCGUGAAAGCCCGGGGCUCAACCCCGGGAGGCGGGCGGAUACUGUCGGGCUAGAGUCCGGAAGAGGCGAGUGGAAUUCCUGGUGUAGCGGUGAAAUGCGCAGAUAUCAGGAGGAACACCAAUGGCGAAGGCAGCUCGCUGGGACGGUACUGACGCUGGAGACGCGAAAGCGUGGGGAGCAAACAGG
rnacentral:rRNA from 1 species